rnacentral:lncRNA from 7 species
AGUUUCCAUGUGACUGAGGAGGAACAGCAAGCACAGCUUUCUGUGGGCCUUGCUGCGUGCCUGCAAAGCAAAUUUCUACAGCAGUUAUGUACUGCAGUUCUCUGAGAGAUACUGGGGUAUGCAGGAUGCAGAAGAAGGUCUUAGUUUCACUGCACAGUUUGACAGUUUGGAUUUGCCAAAUUCAUCCUAUUUCUUUACUGGAUGGAUUCUCUUCACCUGAUCAGACUUCAGAGCUGAAAUAUUUGCCUUUUUGGAGAUAUUCUUCAGAAUAUCAGAACUUCAGAACUCUCAGUGUAUAAGCAAAGACUUUGUUCUGCUGCUUGUGAAAUGACUUCUGAAUUAUACAUGCAGUUUUUCACCUCAGAUUGUAUGGACCUUUCACCUCACAAUGUAUGGACCUUAAAGAGGUUUUUUAAGAUCUCUGCCUGGAUUAAAACACACUGUGCUGUCU